GAAGAAGAACACGAUCUGCACCCGCCGCCCACAGUCAGGGAAAUGUUGAAGCCGCUAGUAAACACUAAAGAGUAACCUUCUUUUUCUUUGUUCAGUGAGAGCGCGGGAAAAAGCAGAAGACAAGAAUCGGUGCUAGUUUGAUUUCACCUGACAACCUGGCCAGCACCAAUAGACUCUCCCAUGACAAUAAGCCAUACCUCUCCGGCUAAUAGGAAGUAGAUUCUGCCUGCCAAUGAAGCAGGGCUGUGUUCAGUUCAUUAAACGUUUUACUACGUGCCUGAACGACACACUUCUCCCCAACUGUUCUUUGAGGGGUCUUUGCUCCUGUUUGGUGGUUGUGGCGAUGUGUUGCCCGACCGUUGAGAACAGCACAGUUUUCCGUUCAAUCAAAAGUUGCAUGCCGUUGUGUCCUGCUGAACACAGCCAUAACUUGAGUCUCCAGGAGGAAAGCAACUUAGGCCAACAACAGCCAACCACCCCAGAGAGGAAUGGCGAAGGAGUUUCUGCUGGAGAAUAAACCGCUCCUAACAGAGAUUCUGUCAGCGGAACCCGACAAUAUUCUCCAGUACGCCCAUUCAAAUAAACUUGUGGAGCAGCGUGGCUACAACAUCCUCUCCCACCUGCAAUCCAGUCAGCCUCCAGAGACUACAGUCAUCAAGCUACUGGACAUGCUGAGAGAGAGAGGAGAGAAGUACUGCCAUGGUUUUGUGGCCCUCCUACAUAAGCAAGAGAUCAUCGCAAACUUCCCCAGACUCAAAGAGCUGGACUGGACCACCUUCAAAGACUCUAGUGCCCCUGACCCAUCCCCAGUCCCACCAAGCAUCAGAGCAGGUACAGCCCUGCCCAUCUAAUCUAGUCUAGAAUGUUGCUGACUGUUGUGAAGCUUAUUGUGCCAACAUGGCACCUAUUAAAAUUCCUAAUCUCAAACGGAGUAUCCCUGACUCUGAAUAUCUAGGUUAUGCAUGUCUAUAGAUGUAUUUCCUUUCAAAUGCUGCAUUUUGUCCCUCCAAUCGGCUCCAUAAUGGGGAAUUUGCAGGAAGUAAUCAAGGCCUGCGGCUACAUCCACAAUGUCUCAGCAGUGAAGAGAGGGAAGAAGACAGGCUAUUUCAAUGCCGUUUUACAGCAAGAAGAUGAGAGCAGGAAUCUGAUCGUUUUUCAGCCGCAGCUGCGAGAGCGCUUUGCCACAGCAGAGAGUCGCAGGUAAGUUGGGUAUGAAGGGCUCUGCAAAGGCUUUGAGUGCUAUGUGAUGAGGAAUAUCUGUUAUUCAUCUUUUAUAAUGCAUGUUUUUUCAGAACUCCAGUGAAGUUGGUGAAAGUGGUGCUCCGGCCAUCCAUAAGCAGAAACAACAAGAUGCAGAUAAAUGUUUACAUACACAUCCACAUUUUCCAUCCUCUAAGAUUUACCCUUCAAAUUCAACAGCGACCUUGACGGGAGGGUCAAGGAUGUGGCGCUAGCCGACCUUCAAGAGGACAAAGAAAACACAGAAAAUGCUGUAAAACAGAAGGUGAACGUUACAGUGGAGGUGAUUCAGAAACUGAAAGAGGGCCAUUGUAAAACGAGAUUUAACAAAAGCAUGCCCAUGGUGGAAUACCUAGUCGGUCAUAUUGUAGAUGAUUCAACAACACUCACAAACCUGACCGUGUGGGGUCGUGAAGAGGGGAAAUGGUACCGGGUCACCAAUGUUUCUGUUGCUAAGUAUGGGGGUAAAACCGUGCUGAACACAACACCAGAAUCUACUCUGGUCAACGUGGCCAGUGGUAGGAAAUGCGAUCUGCCACACAACAUGGUACAGCCUGAGAAGUUUGAGGGGAAAACAUUGGAUACUGGUUGUCCCAAGAGUACACUUGCCCAGAAGCGCACCACCUGGAGAGGGUGGACACCACUGAAAAGAUGGUGACUUGUAAGCAUUGCCCUAUGUCGUACAUACUAUCCCUGAUGGGAAGGAUAACUAGAGGGAAGCUCUCCAUACAAUCUGAUGAUCUGGUCAGCCGGGUGUUCACUGUAGAGGACCAUGUCAUCAGAAAUGUUCUGCGAGGAAGGUGGGAGGGGAGAGAGUCUCUGAAGGACAUUCAGGACGCGCUGGUCGAACUGCCACCAGUGACAGUUACUGUUCUCAAUGGUCAUGUGUCAACCGUUACAACUCAGAGUCAGGAUGUCACCACACAGGAUGAGAAGAGGAAUAUUACUGCGCAACAGCGCGUUUAGUCUGGACUGAUGGUUUCAUUUUGAUCUAACCUUGAUCUAACUAGGCAAGUCAGUUAAGAACAAAUUCUUAUUUACAAUGACGGCCUACCAGAAGGCAAAAGUUCUCCUGGGGGACGGGGAUUAAAAUAAAGACAUAGGGGCGUGGUUCCUUUACUCAUUUUGAUAUCACCUGGGCCACUGCUUCAAUAUGUCUUAGAUGAAAAACGGCAAGCUGAAAAUGUAAAUAGAUUGAUAAUAAAAAAUACUUUUAAAAUGUUUCUUUUUAUAAUGUGUCAGUAUGUCUGGUACUUUUAUAUGUCCAGGUAAAAGCUCAUUUUGUAUUUCAUUUUGACAUUUGUUUAAA